UCUCUCUCUCUCUCUCUCUCUCUCCUCCGGCCAGUGGUCGCCCUUCACCAGGUAAAGUAGCAAUCUUUGAAUCUUUUGUCUGGCAAAAGUGUGGAGAAAAGAGAUAUGGCAGAGAGAAGCAAGAAUGGUAAACUCGGUGAGACUAUCUGGUACCGGACUGUUGAGAAUUCCCUCUAAGACUCUUGUUGAUCUACAAUGGAUAUUGUCUGUAAUUUCUCUCCCUCUAAGCCAAAGAGUACUGCUCUACCUUUUGUGGCAAUUAGCUUGUGAUAUCAACAACAACCCAUCCCAAAAACUUGCUUGGAUGACAGUCGUGGCCAAUGCAAUAAUUUCAACCGACUUAGCGAUUGUAUUGCAUGUACAACCCAUCUUAUUUCAAGUCUAUAACAAUCUCAACCAUCAAAGUACCUUGCCCUUACAAGCUGGUGUUGAGCUUUCAAAUAUUCAUUUCUUGAUCAAUGUCAUCAAUUCCAUGAUCAUAACCUCUAAAUAGUUCUAAAGUUAUUAUAUUUGUUAUCAUGGUCAGUUUAUGUAAUUUUGUAAAAUAUUCUUACUAUCAUGAUCAUGUAAUUUUUUUGAUUACAACAUAGUUCAUAAGUUAUUCUCUAGAUGACCGAAUGUUUUGUCAAAUUGUCUAUAACUGAACUGAGGUUGUGUAAGUGUAAGUUGAAGUCAAUCAGGUGGCUCUUCUUCAGAGAAAA